CCUACGGGUGGCAGCAGUGGGGGAUAUUGCACAAUGGGGGAAACCCUGAUGCAGCGACGCCGCGUGAGUGCAGAAGUAUUUCGGUAUGUAAAGCUCUAUCAGCAGGGAAGAAAAUGACAGUACCUGACCAAGAAGCCACGGCUAACUACGUGCAAGCAGCCGAUGUACUACGUAGGGGGCACGCGUUAUCCGGAUUUACUGGGUGUAACGGGAGCGUAGACGGUUAUGUAAGUCUGGAGUGAAAGCCCGGGGCCCACCCCCUGGACUGCUUUGGAAACUGUGUAACUGGAGUACAGGAGGGGCAGGCGGAAUUCGUGGUGUAGCGGUGAAAUGCGUAGAUAUCAGGAGGAACACCGGCGGCGAAGGCGGCCUGCUGAACUGAAACUGACGUUGAGGCUCGAAAGCGUGGGUAGCAAACAGGAUUAGAUACCCGGGUAGUC
rnacentral:rRNA from 1 species